rnacentral:misc_RNA from 1 species
UUUCCGUAGGUGAACCUGCGGAAGGAUCAUUAAAGAACGCCCUGUUUUUUGAAAUGGGUAAUUCUAAACCGUGUAUACAUACCUUUGUUGCUUUGGCAGGCCGCCCCUCAGGGCGUCGGCUCCGGCUGACUGCGCCUGCCAGAGGACCCAAACUCUUUUGUUUAGUGAUGUCUGAGUACUAUAUAAUAGUUAAAACUUUCAACAACGGAUCUCUUGGUUCUG